rnacentral:rRNA from 1 species
UACGGAGGAUGCGAGCGUUAUCCGGAUUUAUUGGGUUUAAAGGGUGCGUAGGCGGAUCGUUAAGUCAGUGGUCAAAUUGAGGGGCUCAACCCCUUCCCGCCAUUGAAACUGGCGAUCUUGAGUGGAAGAGAAGUAUGCGGAAUGCGUGGUGUAGCGGUGAAAUGCAUAGAUAUCACGCAGAACCCCGGUUGCGAAGGCAGCAUGCCGGCUUCCUACUGACGCUGAAGCACGAAAGCGUGGGGAUCGAACAGG